CUUAUACUAGUUUAUGUGCGUUCUACUCCGUGUUCUUUAUCCACGCGCAGCCUUAUCUCCCAUGAGUUGUUUUCCCGGUGUUUGGAGUGGGAGGGGAAUUCAUUCCAGGUCCCCCCCUCCUCGCGCGCCUUCCCAUCACUUCCUGUUCCUCAAACGCUACGUCUCUCGUCUGGGCAGAAGGCGGCAGCAGCAGCAGCAGCCUACGCGUAUCCCACAGGUGUGUGUUCCUGACCAAAGCGAGAGCUCCCGAAGAGAUACACACCUGGAAGGAACCAUCAUGUGACCGGCACCUGGGCGUGGAGAAAGUCCUUUGUAUUUCCCUGACUCCUUUUGCGAGUUGCCCGUGUCGUCUUUGAGCAAGGAACUCCCUGUCGGUCGAGCAGUAAUCCUGUUUUCUACGGAAUAGUGCCUUUUUUUUGCAGCCGCCUGUAGACCCGCGAGCAGAAAGAACAUGAGCCUCGGGUUCAUGUGACCGAAGGGACUCCAGGUCUGGACUUGAGAUUUUUGGAACUACUGUUGGUUUCUUCCUCCAAGCCAAUGCUACGGCAACCUAAGCACCAGUCUUCUGAGGCCGAGCAGAGGUGUCGCAGCGAGACAGAAGGUACCAGAAAGUCAUGGUUGUGCUCCACCACAAGCAAUCACCAGAACAAACAAGCGGACCAAACACAUGCUCUGGCAACCCCACCCUUCCCCACCAACACCCAAUCCACCACCACCACCCCAUCCCACCACCAUCCCCCCCAGGCUUCUCUCCCCACAGUGGGAGGACGACAUAUAAAACAACACUGAAGCUUCCCCAGCACAUCACAACCCGCAGGGGGUCACACACAUGCUCCCAGAGAAAACAAACACACCUGGCUCUCUGGCCGUACACCCGGCAGCGACCGGCGCAAACAACACAAUCAUUGUUUGGUGCCCGGGCAGAUCGCCGGCGAGGCAAAUGGAAUCGACCAGAGGUCAAGUAGAAAAAAAAAAAACUAAACCUGCUCACCCGUCAGUCCCGAGACACACGGCGUGUCAGAAUGCCGGGCUGCACGGCUGAACUCCCAACGCUCCCAGGAACGCAGAGUGCGUUUACACGUGAGUCAUGAUGCACGAGUCAGUCAUGCAUUUUUAACGCAGUCAUACACAUAACCACACCACACACGCGCCGAUGCAGGAUGUUGUCUUUUGCAUGAACCCGUAGUGAGCUCAAACAAGUGUUGGCGUGGCGCCGUGGUUUACACCAGGAAACCCGACCCACAACACGCCUCAAAAGGAGCAGAAACACAUAAAAGGAGCAGAAAUGAGCAUCGAACCCUGCCCCUUUUUCUUUAUACAAACACACACACACACACACGGACACAAAACCUCUCCUUCCAAAAUAAUCAGUGUAGGGAAUUUCCCCCUGUGGUGUACGGUGUGUGUAUCGUCCCUCUUAGCAUUAUGAUUGCCACCCCGGAAAAUAUAAAGAAGGGGGUUGGGGCGUGGAGUCCAUUCAAGUUGUCAGUGGGCCUCAUAAAGCCGACACCGAUUGUUCCCAGUGGGGCCCUCGUCAGUAGCGAGGAGCAGCGGAGCUUCUCGGCAAGGGGCUCCUGCGAGUGAAGUGACUAUCGCUCUUUCCGAGGGACGAGGCGGACAGGAGGCACUUUGCGUCAAACAAAAUGGCCGGCGACUAAGCAACAGGAGGCUAUCGACGAUGGAACGAUGUGAAGAGCCGUGUCAGCGUGGCGGCUCCUGCCCAGCAGCGCCUGGUUGGGGCUACAGCUGCCUGCCGCAAUCUGUCGCUGGGGUCCUCUUUUGGUUUUUAUCAGCAGGCAUCCCCGGGUUUGCUAAAUAUAUUUUUAUUCUAGGACACUUCCUUGACAGCAGUGUAUUUGAUUUAUUGGGGUUGAUUGCGGGAAGACACACUGGGUGCUUUUACCAAGCGCUUCAGAGAGACAAUGGUUGUACGUUAUACUUAGAGGGGAACUUUCACGUUAUUGGCAGUAAUAACAAAGGAAUCAAAGAUGAGGGGAGUGACCAUCGUGGGGGGUGAAGGAUUGGCCCUGGCUGAAGUCAGCCAUGGCAGGAGAGGCCGAGCUAAUUGGCAAUACACUAUGGGGGGAAGUAGACCUGUCUCAGUACCAGACUUCGUGGCUGCAGCAAUGCAAAAGCUAACUAACUUAACACCUUUCAAUCUGAGAGAGGGAGAAGGGAGCUCUAUGUAGG
ensembl:lncRNA